rnacentral:rRNA from 1 species
GGAAAGGUAACGGCUUACCAAGGCGACGAUCAGUAGCCGACCUGGGCGGGUGAUCGGCCACAUUGGAACUGAGACACGGUCCAAACGCCUACGGGAGGCAGCAGUGGGGAAUAUUGCACAAUGGGCGAAAGCCUGAUGCAGCAACGCCGCGUGAGUGAUGAAGGCCUUCGGGUCGUAAAACUCUGUCCUCAAGGAAGAUAAUGACGGUACUUGAGGAGGAAGCCCCGGCUAACUACGUGCCAGCAGCCGCGGUAAUACGUAGGGGGCUAGCGUUAUCCGGAUUUACUGGGCGUAAAGGGUGCGUAGGCGGUCUUUCAAGUCAGGAGUGAAAGGCUACGGCUCAACCGUAGUAAGCUCUUGAAACUGGGAGACUUGAGUGCAGGAGAGGAGAGUGGAAUUCCUAGUGUAGCGGUGAAAUGCGUAGAUAUUAGGAGGAACACCAGUUGCGAAGGCGGCUCUCUGGACUGU